rnacentral:rRNA from 1 species
AUUGAACGCUGGCGGCAGGCCUAACACAUGCAAGUCGAACGAGUGGCGGACGGGUGAGUAAUGUCUGGGAAACUGUCCGAUGGAGGGGGAUAACUACUGGAAACGGUAGCUAAUACCGCAUACCCUCGGAUGUGCCCAGAUGGGAUUAGCUUGUAGGUGUGGUAAAGGCUCACCUAGGCGCCGCUCCCUAGCUGGUCUGAGAGGAUGACCAGCCACACUGGAACUGAGACACGGUCCAGACUCCUACGGGAGGCAGCAGUGGGGAAUAUUGCACAAUGGGCGCAAGCCUGAUGCAGCCAUGCCGCGUGUAUGAAGAAGGCCUUCGGGUUGUAAAGUACUUUCAGCGGGGAGGCGUUACCCGCAGAAGAAGCACCGGCUAACUCCGUGCCAGCAGCCGCGGUAAUUC